UCUUAUGGAUGAUCAAAGAAAAUGAUUUUGUGAGAUGGAAACUACUCGUGGUGAAAAUUCUAGGAA
rnacentral:pre_miRNA from 1 species